rnacentral:rRNA from 1 species
UACGUAGGGUGCAAGCGUUAAUCGGAAUUACUGGGCGUAAAGCGUGCGCAGGCGGUUUUGUAAGUCUGUCGUGAAAUCCCCGGGCUCAACCUGGGAAUUGCGAUGGAGACUGCAAGGCUAGAAUCUGGCAGAGGGGGGUAGAAUUCCACGUGUAGCAGUGAAAUGCGUGAGAGAGUGUGGAGGAACACCGAUGGCGAAGGCAGCCCCCUGGGUCAAGAUUGACGCUCAUGCACGAAAGCGUGGGGAGCAAACGAGGAUUAGAGUACCCUGG